AUUGAACGCUGGCGGAAUGCUUUACACAUGCAAGUCGAGCGGCAGCGCGGGGCAACCUGGCGGCGAGCGGCGAACGGGUGAGUAAUGCAUCGGAACAUGUCCAUGUCGUGGGGGAUAGCCCGGCGAAAGCCGGAUUAAUACCGCAUACGCCCGAGAGGGGAAAGCAGGGGACCGCAAGGCCUUGCGCGAUUGGGUUGGCCGAUGUCCGAUUAGCUUGUUGGUGAGGUAAAGGCUUACCAAGGCGAUGAUCGGUAGCUGGUCUGAGAGGAUGAUCCGCCACACUGGAACUGAGACACGGUCCAGACUCCUACGGGAGGCAGCAGUGGGGAAUUUUGGACAAUGGGGGCAACCCUGAUCCAGCCAUGCCGCGUGAGUGAAGAAGGCCU
rnacentral:rRNA from 1 species